AUUGAACGCUGGCGGCAGGCCUAACACAUGCAAGUCGAGCGGAUGAAGGGAGCUUGCUCCUGGAUUCAGCGGCGGACGGGUGAGUAAUGCCUAGGAAUCUGCCUGGUAGUGGGGGAUAACGUCCGGAAACGGGCGCUAAUACCGCAUACGUCCUGAGGGAGAAAGCGGGGGAUCUUCGGACCUCACGCUAUCAGAUGAGCCUAGGUCGGAUUAGCUAGUUGGUGGGGUAAAGGCCUACCAAGGCGACGAUCCGUAACUGGUCUGAGAGGAUGAUCAGUCACACUGGAACUGAGACACGGUCCAGACUCCUACGGGAGGCAGCAGUGGGGGAUAUUGGACAAUGGGCGAAAGCCUGAUCCAGCCAUGCCGCGUGUGUGAAGAAGGUCUUCGGAUUGUAAAGCACUUUAAGUUGGGAGGAAGGGCAGUAAGUUAAUACCUUGCUGUUUUGACGUUACCAACAGAAUAAGCACCGGCUAACUUCGUG
rnacentral:rRNA from 1 species